GGCUUGUAUGUACAUUCCUG
rnacentral:piRNA from 1 species